rnacentral:rRNA from 1 species
AUGAACGCUAGCUACAGGCUUAACACAUGCAAGUCGAGGGGCAUCAGGAAGAAAGCUUGCUUUCUUUGCUGGCGACCGGCGCACGGGUGAGUAACACGUAUCCAACCUGCCCUUUACUCGGGGAUAGCCUUUCGAAAGAAAGAUUAAUACCCGAUGGCAUAAUGAUUCCGCAUGGUUUCAUUAUUAAAGGAUUCCGGUAAAGGAUGGGGAUGCGUUCCAUUAGGUUGUUGGUGAGGUAACGGCUCACCAAGCCUUCGAUGGAUAGGGGUUCUGAGAGGAAGGUCCCCCACAUUGGAACUGAGACACGGUCCAAACUCCUACGGGAGGCAGCAGUGAGGAAUAUUGGUCAAUGGGCGCUAGCCUGAACCAGCCAAGUAGCGUGAAGGAUGAAGGCUCUAUGGGUCGUAAACUUCUUUUAUAUAAGAAUAAAGUGCAGUAUGUAUACUGUUUUGUAUGUAUUAUAUGAAUAAGGAUCGGCUAACUCCGUGCCAGCAGCCGCGGUAAUACGGAGGAUCCGAGCGUUAUCCGGAUUUAUUGGGUUUAAAGGGAGCGUAGGUGGACUGGUAAGUCAGUUGUGAAAGUUUGCGGCUCAACCGUAAAAUUGCAGUUGAUACUGUCAGUCUUGAGUACAGUAGAGGUGGGCGGAAUUCGUGGUGUAGCGGUGAAAUGCUUAGAUAUCACGAAGAACUCCGAUUGCGAAGGCAGCUCACUGGACUGCAACUGACACUGAUGCUCGAAAGUGUGGGUAUCAAACAGGAUUAGAUACCCUGGUAGUCCACACAGUAAACGAUGAAUACUCGCUGUUUGCGAUAUACAGUAAGCGGCCAAGCGAAAGCAUUAAGUAUUCCACCUGGGGAGUACGCCGGCAACGGUGAAACUCAAAGGAAUUGACGGGGGCCCGCACAAGCGGAGGAACAUGUGGUUUAAUUCGAUGAUACGCGAGGAACCUUACCCGGGCUUAAAUUGCAGUGGAAUGAUGUGGAAACAUGUCAGUGAGCAAUCACCGCUGUGAAGGUGCUGCAUGGUUGUCGUCAGCUCGUGCCGUGAGGUGUCGGCUUAAGUGCCAUAACGAGCGCAACCCUUAUCUUUAGUUACUAACAGGUUAUGCUGAGGACUCUAGAGAGACUGCCGUCGUAAGAUGUGAGGAAGGUGGGGAUGACGUCAAAUCAGCACGGCCCUUACGUCCGGGGCUACACACGUGUUACAAUGGGGGGUACAGAAGGCAGCUAGCGGGUGACCGUAUGCUAAUCCCAAAAGCCUCUCUCAGUUCGGAUCGAAGUCUGCAACCCGACUUCGUGAAGCUGGAUUCGCUAGUAAUCGCGCAUCAGCCACGGCGCGGUGAAUACGUUCCCGGGCCUUGUACACACCGCCCGUCAAGCCAUGGGAGCCGGGGGUACCUGAAGUACGUAACCGCAAGGAUCGUCCUAGGGUAAAACUGGUGACU